UACGAAGGGGGCUAGCGUUGCUCGGAAUCACUGGGCGUAAAGGGUGCGUAGGCGGGUCUUUAAGUCAGGGGUGAAAUCCUGGAGCUCAACUCCAGAACUGCCUUUGAUACUGAAGAUCUUGAGUUCGGGAGAGGUGAGUGGAACUGCGAGUGUAGAGGUGAAAAUUCGUAGAUAUUCGCAAGAACACCGGUGGCGAAGGCGGCCUGCUGGGCAGUAGCUGACGCU
rnacentral:rRNA from 1 species